rnacentral:rRNA from 2 species
GCAAGUCGAACGAACUCUGGUAUUGAUUGGUGCUUGCAUCAUGAUUUACAUUUGAGUGAGUGGCGAACUGGUGAGUAACACGUGGGAAACCUGCCCAGAAGCGGGGGAUAACACCUGGAAACAGAUGCUAAUACCGCAUAACAACUUGGACCGCAUGGUCCGAGUUUGAAAGAUGGCUUCGGCUAUCACUUUUGGAUGGUCCCGCGGCGUAUUAGCUAGAUGGUGGGGUAACGGCUCACCAUGGCAAUGAUACGUAGCCGACCUGAGAGGGUAAUCGGCCACAUUGGGACUGAGACACGGCCCAAACUCCUACGGGAGGCAGCAGUAGGGAAUCUUCCACAAUGGACGAAAGUCUGAUGGAGCAACGCCGCGUGAGUGAAGAAGGGUUUCGGCUCGUAAAACUCUGUUGUUAAAGAAUAACAUAUCUGAGAGUAACUGUUCAGGUAUUGACGGUAUUUAACCAGAAAGCCACGGCUAACUACGUGCCAGCAGCCGCGGUAAUACGUAGGUGGCAAGCGUUGUCCGGAUUUAUUGGGCGUAAAGCGAGCGCAGGCGGUUUUUUAAGUCUGAUGUGAAAGCCUUCGGCUCAACCGAAGAAGUGCAUCGUAAACUGGGAAACUUGAGUGCAGAAGAGGACAGUGGAACUCCAUGUGUAGCGCUG